rnacentral:rRNA from 1 species
UUGCCUACGGGAGGCAGCAGUGGGGAAUAUUGGGCAAUGGGCGCAAGCCUGACCCAGCAACGCCGCGUGAAGGAAGAAGGCUUUCGGGUUGUAAACUUCUUUUCUCAGGGACGAAGAAAGUGACGGUACCUGAGGAAUAAGCCACGGCUAACUACGUGCCAGCAGCCGCGGUAAUACGUAGGUGGCAAGCGUUAUCCGGAUUUAUUGGGUUUAAAGGGUGCGUAGGCGGACUGUUAAGUCAGCGGUAAAAGCCCGGGGCUCAACCCCGGCGAGCCGUUGAAACUGGCUGUCUUGAGAUGUCGAGG